rnacentral:rRNA from 1 species
UACAGGGGGGGCAAGCGUUGUUCGGAAUUACUGGGCGUAAAGGGCCAGUAGGCGGCCAACUAAGUCACACGUGAAAUCCCCAGGCUUAACCUGGGAACUGCGUCUGAUACUGGAUGGCUUGAGUUUGGGAGAGGGACGCGGAAUUCCAGGUGUAGCGGUGAAAUGCGUAGAUAUCUGGAGGAACACCGGUGGCGAAGGCGGCGUCCUGGACCAACACUGACACUGAUGAGCGAAAGCCAGGGGAGCAAACGGG